CUGGCUCAGGACGAACGCUGGCGGCGUGCCUAAUACAUGCAAGUAGAACGCUGAAGACUUUAGCUUGCUAGAGUUGGAAGAGUUGCGAACGGGUGAGUAACGCGUAGGUAACCUGCCUAUUAGCGGGGGAUAACUAUUGGAAACGAUAGCUAAUACCGCAUAAUAGUGUUUAACAC
rnacentral:rRNA from 1 species